rnacentral:rRNA from 1 species
CCUACGGGUGGCAGCAGUGGGGAAUAUUGGACAAUGGGGGGAACCCUGAUCCAGCCAUGCCGCGUGUGUGAAGAAGGCCCUCGGGUUGUAAAGCACUUUCAGUGAGGAAGAACGCCUGGUGGUUAAUACCCAUCAGGAAAGACAUCACUCACAGAAGAAGCACCGGCUAACUCCGUGCCAGCAGCCGCGGUAAUACGGAGGGUGCGAGCGUUAAUCGGAAUUACUGGGCGUAAAGCGCGCGUAGGUGGCUUGAUAAGCCGGUUGUGAAAGCCCCGGGCUCAACCUGGGAACGGCAUCCGGAACUGUCAAGCUAGAGUGCAGGAGAGGAAGGUAGAAUUCCCGGUGUAGCGGUGAAAUGCGUAGAGAUCGGGAGGAAUUCCAGUGGCGAAGGCGGCCUUCUGGACUGACACUGACACUGAGGUGCGAAAGCGUGGGUAGCAAACAGGAUUAGAUACCCCAGUAGUC